rnacentral:rRNA from 1 species
GACGAACGCUGGCGGCGUGCUUAACACAUGCAAGUCGAACGGAAAGGCCCUGCGUUUGUGUGUUGCUCGAUUGGCGAACGGGUGAGUAACACGUGAGUAACCUGCCCUUGACUUUGUGGUAACUUCAGGAAACUGGGUCUAAUACCGCAUAGGAGCUCCUGCUGCAUGGUGGGGGUUGGAAAAUUUCGGCGGUUGGGGAUAGUCUCGCGGCUUAUCAGCUGGUUGGGUAGGUAGUUACUUACCAAGGCUUUGACGGGUAGCCGGCCUGAGAGGGUGACCGGCCACCUUGGGACUGAGAUACGGCCCAGAAUCCUACGGGAGGCAGUAGUGGGGAAUAUUGCACAACGGGCGGAAGUCUGAUGUAGCAACGCCGCGUGCGGGAUGACGUCCUUCGGGUGGUAAACAGCUUUCGACUGUGACGAAGAGUGAGUGACGGUAAUGGGUAAAGAAGCACCGGCUAACUACGUG